rnacentral:misc_RNA from 1 species
CAAGAUUAGCUAUGCAUUGUGACUACUGGGCAGGAUCAACCAGGGUAGCAUCCC